rnacentral:rRNA from 1 species
CCCUUAGAUGUUCUGGGCUGCACGCGCGCUACACUGAUACUUUCAGCGAGUCCACCACCUUGCCUGGGAAGGUGGGGUAACCUCUGGAAAGUGCAUCGUGAUGGGGAUCGAUUAUUGUAAUUAUUAAUCUUCAACGAGGAAUUCCUAGUAAGCAUGUGUCAUCAGCCCGUGCUGAUUACGUCCCUGCCCUUUGUACACACCGCCCGUCGCUACUACCGAUUGAACGGUUUAGUGAGGGCCUCGGAUUGGUCUCGGCCCGCUCUUUACCGGGCGGCGCCGUUGGUCGAGAAGACGCUCGAACUUGAUCGUUUAGAGGAAGUAAAAGUCGUAACA